UGUGUGUUUCAUUUCGUUGCUUAAUUAGUUGCAAAAUAAUCAUUAGUUUUGUAUCAUCCUUGUUGUAGCAGCUUUUUGCUGAAAUUUUACA